rnacentral:misc_RNA from 1 species
GAUGAAGAACGUAGCGAAAUGCGAUAAGUAAUGUGAAUUGCAGAAUUCAGUGAAUCAUCGAAUCUUUGAACGCACAUUGCGCCCGCUAGUAUUCUGGCGGGCAUGCCUGUCCGAGCGUCAUUUCAACCCUCAAGCCCCCGGGCUUGGUGUUGGGGAUCGGCGAGCCUCCGCGCCCGCCGUCCCCUAAAUCUAGUGGCGGUCUCGCUGUAGCUUCCUCUGCGUAGUAGCACACCUCGCACUGGGAAACAGCGCGGCCACGCCGUUAAACCCCCAACUUCUGAACGUUUGACCUCGGAUCAGGAAGGAAUACCCGCUGAACUUAAGCAUAUCAAUAAGCGGAGGA